rnacentral:rRNA from 1 species
UACGUAGGUGGCAAGCGUUAUCCGGAAUUACUGGGUGUAAAGGGAGCGUAGGCGGGAUGGUAAGUCAGAUGUGAAAUACCGGGGCUCAACCCCGGGGCUGCAUUUGAAACUACUGUUCUUGAGUGGAGUAGAGGCAAGCGGAAUUCCUAGUGUAGCGGUGAAAUGCGUAGAUAUUAGGAGGAACACCAGUGGCGAAGGCGGCUUGCUGGGCUUUUACUGACGCUGAGGCUCGAAAGCGUGGGGAGCAA